rnacentral:rRNA from 1 species
GACGAACCGUGCGAACGUUGUUCGGAAUCACUGGGCUUAAAGGGCGCGUAGGCGGGCUGCCAAGUCUGGGGUGAAAUCCCACGGCUCAACCGUGGAACUGCCUCAGAUACUGGCGGCCUCGAGGGGGGUAGGGGCAUGCGGAACUAUGCGUGGAGCGGUGAAAUGCGUUGAUAUGCAUAGGAACUCCGGUGGCGAAGGCGGCGUGCUGGACCCUUUCUGACGCUGAGACGCGAAAGCGUGGGGAGCGAACAGG